rnacentral:rRNA from 1 species
CCUACGGGGGGCUGCAGUGGGGAAUAUUGCACAAUGGGCGCAAGCCUGAUGCAGCCAUGCCGCGUGUGUGAAGAAGGCCUUCGGGUUGUAAAGCACUUUCAGCGGGGAGGAAGGCGUUAAGGUUAAUAACCUUGGCGAUUGACGUUACCCGCAGAAGAAGCACCGGCUAACUCCGUGCCAGCAGCCGCGGUAAUACGGAGGGUGCAAGCGUUAAUCGGAAUUACUGGGCGUAAAGCGCACGCAGGCGGUCUGUCAAGUCGGAUGUGAAAUCCCCGGGCUCAACCUGGGAACUGCAUUCGAAACUGGCAGGCUAGAGUCUUGUAGAGGGGGGUAGAAUUCCCGGUGUAGCGGUGAAAUGCGUAGAGAUCUGGAGGAAUACCAGUGGCGAAGGCGACCCCCUGGACAAAGACUGACGCUCAGGGGCGAAAGCGUGGGGAGCAAACAGGAUUAGAUACCCGAGUAGUC